UUAGGUGCCUAUAUCGGCGGUGUCCACCUCUUCCCAUUCCGAACAGAGAAGUUAAGCCCGCCAGAGCCGAUGGUACUGCAGUAACAUGUGGGAGAGUAGGUCGGCGCCAAAU
rnacentral:rRNA from 2 species